CCCUAGUAACUGCGAGUGAAGCGGGAAAAGCUCAAAUUUAAAAUCUGGUGGUCUUAGACUAUCCGAGUUGUAAUCUAGAGAAGUGUUAUCCGUGUUGGACCGUGUACAAGUCUCCUGGAAUGGAGCGUCAUAGAGGGUGAGAAUCCCGUCUUUGACACGGACUACCAAUGCAUUGUGAUGCGCUCUCAAAGAGUCGAGUUGUUUGGGAAUGCAGCUCAAAAUGGGAGGUAAAUUCCUUCUAAAGCUAAAUAUUGGCGAGAGACCGAUAGCGAACAAGUACCGUGAGGGAAAGAUGAAAAGAACUUUGGAAAGAGAGUUAAACAGUACGUGAAAUUGCUGAAAGGGAAACGCUUGAAGUCAGUCGCAUUAUCCAGGAAUCAACCUUGCUUUUGCUGGGUGUACUUUCUGGUUGAUGGGUCAGCAUCAAUUUUGACCGUUGGAUAAAGGUUAGGGGAAUGUGGCAUCUUCGGAUGUGUUAUAGCCUCUGGUCGCAUACAACGGUUGGGAUUGAGGAACUCAGCACGCCGCAAGGCCGAGUAUUUAUACUACGUUCGUGCUUAGGAUGCUGGCAUAAUGGCUUUAAUCGACCCGUCUUGAAACACGGACCAAGGAGUCUAACAUGCCUGCGAGUGUUUGGGUGGAAAACCCGAGCGCGUAAUGAAAGUGAAAGUUGAGAUCCCUGUCGCGGGGAGCAUCGACGCCCGGACUUGACCUUUUGUGACGGAUCCGCGGUAGAGCAUGUAUGUUGGGACCCGAAAGAUGGUGAACUAUGCCUGAAUAGGGUGAAGCCAGAGGAAACUCUGGUGGAGGCUCGUAGCGAUUCUGACGUGCAAAUCGAUCGUCAAAUUUGGGUAUAGGGGCGAAAGACUAAUCGAACCAUCUAGUAGCUGG
rnacentral:rRNA from 1 species